rfam:Cavia porcellus supercont2_67 genomic scaffold, whole genome shotgun sequence.
UAGCUCAGGGGUGCAGCACCUGCCUGGCAAGCAUGAGGUCCUGAGUUCGAUUCUCAG